rnacentral:misc_RNA from 1 species
AUCGUGGAGAGAAGAUUGAGCUUUUAGUGGAUAAGACAGAAAACCUUCGAUCUCAGGCACAAGAUUUUAGGCAGCAAGGAACCAAAAUGAGGAGAAAGAUGUGGUAUCAGAACAUGAAGAUAAAGCUGAUAGUUCUUGCGAUCGUACUGGCGUUGAUUCUGAUUAUCAUUGUGUCUGUCUGUGGCGGCUUCAAAUGUUGAUGGAUUAUUCUCCUUUGCAGCAUUAGGAUUUUGGUGAUGGGAUCAGUCUUACUCGGACAGUUUUAUGCAUGCUUGUUUAUUGUACAAAUCUUUCAGUUCCAAGUCUCACUUACCCAUACGUUACCUAAGGACCCUGCUUUUGUAUAGGUUGUG